rnacentral:rRNA from 1 species
AAUGAACGUUGGCGGCGUGGAUUAGGCAUGCAAGUCGUGCGGAAAGGCCCCGCAAGGGGUACUCGAGCGGCGAAAGAGAUAGUAACAUGUGGAUUACCUACCUCCAGGACGGGGAUAGCUGCGGGAAACUGCAAUUAAUACCCGAUGACGUCUUCGGACCAAAGGUGUGAUUCCGCCUGGAGACGGGUCCGCGUCCUAUUAGCUAGUUGGCAGGGUAACGGCCUACCAAGGCUCAGAUGGGUAGCGGGUGUGAGAGCACGACCCGCAUCACUGGGACUGAGAUACUGCCCAGACACCUACGGGUGGCUGCAGUCGAGGAUCUUCGGCAAUGGGCGAAGGCCUGACCGAGCGACGCCGCGUGCGGGAUGAAGGCCUUCGGGUUGUAAACCGCUGUCAGUGGGGAGGAAAUACUAGGGGGAACACCCUCUAGUUUGACCUAUCCGCAGAGGAAGGACGGGCUAAGUUCGUGCCAGCCGCCGCAGUAAAAC